rnacentral:rRNA from 1 species
CAAAACCCUUUUUUUCACGACUUUUUUUUGACGAUGACAGAGAAUAUACUAGUCUUGCCGGUGGAUCACUCGGCUCGUGGGUCGAUGAAGAUCGCAGCCAAAUGCGAUAGUUUGUGCGAACUGCAGAUAUUCUGAGCACUGAACCGUCGAAUGCACAUUGCGCCUUGGGAUCUACAUCCCUUGGCACGCCUGGUUCAGGGUCGUA